UGGUGAUUCCAACAUUCAUGCUGAGAACCCGGAGGACAGAGGGACCAAAAAACUGUGUUGUGUUCUUGAUAACUUUGGUCUAACUCAGCAUGUGGACCAGAGGACCCUGUCUGGAUCUGUUGUGAAAGAAAUGAAGC